CAUUCCUUAUUUCUCCUUCCAGAUCAAUAUCACAACCUUAUGAUAAGGUGUGUCAAGUGGAUGAAGUAUCCAUAUCGAUACCAACAACAGAGUCACAAUCGCUCGGAUCUAGCCCGAGCCAGCAACGACCUGAAAGUUCAAUUAUCCUAAUCGAUGAGUAUGAAGAUGUCGAAGAAGAGGAACUCAAUGCGAAGAGGAAUUUGACGAAUACCAUCCGUCUUGGGAAAUCGACAGUGAUGCCAUUGUCGACGCUGAUGCCGAUGUGGACGGCGACGAGACAACUGAGGACACGGCCUUACUGCACCGACCACACGUACUGCUAUUGUAAUAACACCCAUUAGUCCCGUAAACUCCGCACAUAAUCUCCAAAGUAUGGAUGACCAAAGUAAUGCUCCUACAAUCAAUAAAUCAAAUUUACUAUCGCCGGAUUCCGGAUAGCAAAUGUAAUAUAUUUUUUUAUUAUCGCUUACAAUUUAUACUCUUGUGUUCAAAAGUAACUAAAGUUAAUAAUAAUAAUAAUGAUACAUAAAAAAACAAAACCAACAAACAUAGAAGCGUAAAAUAAUAAAAGCAAAAAUACAUUAUGUACCUACAUACA